UCCGUAGGUGAACCUGCGGAAGGAUCAUUACCGAGUGCGGGCUGCCUCCGGGCGCCCAACCUCCCACCCGUGACUACCUAACACUGUUGCUUCGGCGGGGAGCCCCCUAGGGGCGAGCCGCCGGGGACCACUGAACUUCAUGCCUGAGAGUGAUGCAGUCUGAGCCUGAAUACAAAUCAGUCAAAACUUUCAACAAUGGAUCUCUUGGUUCCGGCAUCGAUGAAGAACGCAGCGAACUGCGAUAAGUAAUGUGAAUUGCAGAAUUCAGUGAAUCAUCGAGUCUUUGAACGCACAUUGCGCCCCCUGGCAUUCCGGGGGGCAUGCCUGUCCGAGCGUCAUUGCUGCCCUCAAGCCCGGCUUGUGUGUUGGGUCGUCGUCCCCCCCGGGGGACGGGCCCGAAAGGCAGCGGCGGCACCGUGUCCGGUCCUCGAGCGUAUGGGGCUUUGUCACCCGCUCGAUUAGGGCCGGCCGGGCGCCAGCCGGCGUCUCCAACCUUAUUUUUCUCAGGAUUGACCUCGGAUCAGGUAGGGAUACCCGCUGAACUUAAGCAUAUCAAUAAGCGGAGGAAAAGAAACCAACCGGGAUUGCCUCAGUAACUG
rnacentral:rRNA from 1 species